rnacentral:rRNA from 1 species
GAGUUUGAUCAUGGCUCAGAUUGAACGCUGGCGGCAUGCUUUACACAUGCAAGUCGAACGGUAACAGGGAGCUUGCUCCGCUGACGAGUGGCGAACGGGUGAGUAAUGCGUCGGAACGUGCCGAGUAGUGGGGGAUAACGCAUCGAAAGGUGUGCUAAUACCGCAUACGAACUGAGGUUGAAAGUGGGGGACCUUCGGGCCUCACGCUAUUCGAGCGGCCGACGUCUGAUUAGCUAGUAGGUGAGGUAAAGGCUCACCUAGGCGACGAUCAGUAGCGGGUCUGAGAGGAUGAUCCGCCACACUGGGACUGAGACACGGCCCAGACUCCUACGGGAGGCAGCAGUGGGGAAUUUUGGACAAUGGGCGCAAG